rnacentral:rRNA from 1 species
AUUGAACGCUGGCGGCAGGCCUAACACAUGCAAGUCGAGCGCGCGGCGGACGGGUGAGUAAUGUCUGGGAAACUGCCUGAUGGAGGGGGAUAACUACUCGAAACGGUAGCUAAUACCGCAUACCCUCAGAUGUGCCCCGAUGGGAUUAGAUGGUAGGUGGGGUAACGGCUCACCUAGGCGACGAUCCCUAGCUGGUCUGAGAGGAUGACCAGCCACACGGGAACUGAGACACGGUCCAGACGCGUACGGGAGGCAGCAGUGGGGAAUAUUGCACAAUGGGCGCAAGCCUGAUGCAGCCAUGCCGCGUGUGUGAAGAAGGCCUUCGGGUUGUAAAGCACUUUCAGCGGGGAGGCGUUACCCGCAGAAGAAGCACCGGCUAACUCCGUGCCAGCAGCCGCGGUAAUAC